UCCAGCAGCCCAACAGUCUCCCCACCCGCAGUUUCUGUCCUUGGUCAGCGUAGCCUCCAGAGUUCAGAAGUUCCUCUGCAGAGUUUACCUCCCAGCCUGGGUGGAAGCAGGAAAAGUGACGGUGACUCUGGAUCCAGACACGGCUCAUCCCCAGCUCGCCCUGUCUGAGGAUCGGAGACAUGUGAGAUGCGGACACACCCGGCAGGAUCUGCCCGACAAUCCUGAGCGAUUUGACACUGGAUCAGUCAUAACCCUGAGAGGGGGAAGGGGGAGCAGAUGUGAUUUUUGAAGAUAGUCAUGGAAUUUUUUUUCUCCUGAACUGGUUGUGUCACUGAACUCUAAUGAGGAUAUGCAUGUAUGUCACUCUGGGUUUGUCUACACUGCAAUGUAAGCCCAAGGAUUUUGGGUCUGGAGGCAGCUGGCCCAUGUCGGAGAACCCUGGGCUUGAGCAUCUACACUGGUUCUUAACCCUACAUUAAGACAUUUCUAACCUAGGCUCAAAUCUGGGGCUCUGGUGUCCACACUGCAGCAUGUAGAUCUGAGUCCAACCAACCCUAGCCCAGAUUCCCCAACACCAGCCUGAAAUGUGGCCGCUGUGGCCCUUUGAGCAUGUUACAGUGCAGCGAAACUUUUCUGCCCACCCUUCUUGUUACAGGAAGUUUGAGCAGCUCGCCAACACAGACAGCCGAGGAGUGAUUUUGGUCUGUGUGUGCCAAGCUACCAGAGCCAGCAACAUGGAGAAGGCACCUUUUGAAGAAAUCCUCUCGCUUGCACUUUCACUCCUGCAUCAGAAAAAGGACAGAGCUUCCUUGAAGUGCUGGUGAACAUUUGAGAGGACUUUUCUGCCCCACCAAAGGUACCUGAUGGACUGUAUGAUGGAGCAGGAGGAGAAGGAGGACCCUGGCAUGGCAGACUCACACUGGCCUAUGCUGCUCAGUAGAACUGGCAGAGCUGCUGGCAUUCCCUAGGUAGACUGGCACAGGGCCACAAGCACAGACUGGUGAGAUCCCAUCAGCCUGCAGACCUGGGAUGCCCAGCACACAGUCCGGAGCUCAUGCAGGAAAAAAAGGUCUCCUCACGACAUUAUCUAAGGAGGAAGGAGAAGAUCAUCUUCUGUUUUCAGCAGAGGAGAGGAAACUGCUAUAGAAUCCAACUUUAACAAAAACUGACAAAGUCGUCUUUUCCUCUGAAGACAAAACUCCCAGUAUAGCCUGAUCACUAGGAUAGCUGACAAUAAAAAUUCCUAUCAAAUCGUACAUCAGGAAUAAGGAGGUCUGUGUGGGGAAGGGGAUGUGUUCAGUGCUUAAAUUUGUGCCAGGGCACGCCAGCAUUGCACCCCGGCAUCUCUAGGCUUGGCAGUUUGUAGACCUGGUACCUCUGGGCUUGCUUCAUCAAUUAUGAAUGUAGGAAAAACGCUUGAGCCCCGGAACCUCUUUCAUUACACAUUAAGCACUGGAUGUAUAUAAGAGCAGACCCAUAGAGCAGCAGGUGAAACCGGUGUGGGAAGUUUUGUGCAUCUUUGGCUUCUUCUCCCAGAACUGUGCAAAUAACUGAUUUUUAGGUUUACACCAAAAAUAAAUAAAAAAU